AACAAGGUCUCCGUUGGUGAACCAGCGGAGGGAUCAUUAUCGAGUUAUUCAACUCCCAAACCCUAUGUGAACUUACCACUUGUUGCUUCGGCGCGCGCUUCGGCGCCGCCGAGGACACUUAAACUCUUUGUUUUUAUAAGCAUUUCUGAGUGGCCGAAAGGCAAAAAUACAAAUGGAUCAAAACUUUCAACAACGGAUCUCUUGGUUCUGGCAUCGAUGAAGAACGCAGCGAAAUGCGAUAAGUAAUGUGAAUUGCAGAAUUCAGUGAAUCAUCGAAUCUUUGAACGCACAUUGCGCCCGCCAGCAUUCUGGCGGGCAUGCCUGUUCGAGCGUCAUUUCAACCCUCGAGCCCGACUCUUUUGAGGACGGCUCGGCGUUGGGGGACGGCAGACUCCCCCCGGCAUCUCGCCGGGGACGCCGCCCCCGAAAUCUAGUGGCGGCCCUCCGAGGCGACCUCUGCGUAGUAACUUGUUCUCGCACCGGAAAGCUCAGAGCGGCCACGCCGUAAAACCCCAACUUUUUUCAGGUUGACCUCGAAUCAGGUAGGACUACCCGCUGAACUUAAGCAUAUCAAU
rnacentral:rRNA from 1 species